rnacentral:rRNA from 1 species
AUUGAACGCUGGCGGUAGGCCUAACACAUGCAAGUCGAACGCGUGGCGGACGGGUGAGUAAUGUCUGGGCAACUGUCUGAUGGAGGGGGAUAACAAUUGGAAACGGUGGCUAAUAACGCAUACAAUAGGAUGUGCCCAGAUGGGAUUAGCUAGUAGGUGGGGGAAAGGCUCACCUAGGAGACGAUCCCUAGCUGGUGUGAGAGGAUGACCAUCCACACUGGCACUGAGACACGGCCCAGACUCCUACGGUAGGCAGCAGUGGGGAAUAUUGCUCAAUGGGCGCAAGCCUGAUGCAGCCAUGCCGCGUGUAUGAAGAAGGCCUUCGGGUUGUAAAGUACUUUCAGCGGGGAGGCGUUACCCGCAGAAUAAGCACCGGCUAACUCCGUGCCAGCAGCCGCGGUAAUAC